UACGUAGGGAGCAAGCGUUGUCCGGAAUCAUUGGGCGUAAAGCGCGCGUAGGCGGUCCCGUAAGUCCGCUGUGAAAGUCAAAGGCUCAACCUUUGAAAGCCGGUGGAUACUGUGGGGCUAGAGUCCGGAAGAGGCGAGUGGAAUUCCUGGUGUAGCGGUGGAAUGCGCAGAUAUCAGGAGGAACACCAAUAGCGAAGGCAGCUCGCUGGGCCGGUACUGACGCUAAGGCGCGAAAGCGUGGGGAGCGAACAGG
rnacentral:rRNA from 1 species